rnacentral:rRNA from 1 species
GAUGAACGCUGGCGGCGUGCCUAAUACAUGCGAGUCGAGCGAACGGACGAGAAGCUUGCUUCUCUGAUGUUAGCGGCGGACGGGUGAGUAACACGUGGAUAACCUACCUAUAAGACUGGGAUAACUUCGGGAAACCGGAGCUAAUACCGGAUGAUAUUUUGAACCGCAUGGUUCAAAAGUGAAAGACGGUCUUGCUGUCACUUAUAGAUGGAUCCGCGCUGCAUUAGCUAGUUGGUAAGGUAACGGCUUACCAAGGCAACGAUGCAUAGCCGACCUGAGAGGGUGAUUGGCCACACUGGAACUGAGACACGGUCCAGACUCCUACGGGAGGCAGCAGUAGGGAAUCUGCCGCAAUGGGCGAAAGCCUGACGGAGCAACGCCGCGUGAGUGAUGAAGGUCUUCGGAUCGUAAAACUCUGUUAUUAGGGAAGAACAGAUGUGUAAGUAACUGUGCACAUCUUGACGGUACCUAAUCAGAAAGCCACGGCUAACUACGUG